rnacentral:rRNA from 1 species
AGAAUCAACGCUGGCGGCGUGCCUAACACAUGCAAGUCGAACGAGAAAGUGGAGCAAUCCAUGAGUACAGUGGCGACCGGGUGAGUAACACGUGAUCAACCUACCCUCGAGUGGGGAAUAACUCCGGGAAACCGGAGCUAAUACCGCAUAAAAUCUUCGGUCCACAUGAACUGAUGAUCAAAGGAGCAAUUCGCUUGAGGAGGGGGUCGCGGCUGAUUAGCUAGUUGGUAGGGUAAUGGCCUACCAAGGCUUAGAUCGGU